AUUUUUAGUAGAGACAACAUUUUGCCAUGUUGGCCAGGCUGGUCUCGAACUCUUGACCUCAGGUGAUCUGCCCACCUUGGCCUCCCAAAGUGCUGGGAUUACCCGCGUGAGUCACUGUGACCGGCCAUUGUUUUGUAGAGAUAAGGUCUCACUGUAUUGCUCAGGCUGCUUUUGAACUCCUGGGCUCAAAUGAUCCUCUCACCUCAUUUUCCCCAAGUGCUGGGAUUACAGGCUAUUCUCUUUUUAUUAGGAACUAGCAAGAUUUCCAUUCAAAUGAGAACGGGAAACAUAGGAAAUCCAUGGGAUCUAAAAUACAAGUUGACAUUUUAGUUUAGGAACUGUGAGUUAAUGGGAUGAAUCUUCAUCUAGUUUGCUGCCUCUUGGACUCAACUCCCUGUAUCAGAUUGCUUUGUGGCCCUAGGCAGAUUCACUCUCUUGACUUAGUUUGGUUCCCCUUCUGGAGAACCAAAUAAUCAAUAAAUUGAUUCAUAAAAUUAUCAAAUAUUGCUAUUAUAUACAUCUCAUCUUUUUCUUUCAAAGUUGGCUGCAGCCGUUGGCCAGCUCCAAUACAGACAUUUGCUAUUUGUUUUGCGCCCCCCCCCGCCGCCCCCGGCAUUAGAGAUAAUUUUAUGGAUAGACACUCACUUUCACCCCAGCUCUCAGAGGUAUAAAUGUCCCAGCUGCGAAAUCUUAAGGUUAAAGUGACCUUCAGCCAUGGCUUCACGGUAAGUACACUGAUUAGUUUGCUUUUUUCUGGGUAUCCUAACACUUUUCUGCUUCAUUUCCUCCCUUUUAAUUACUUGGUCUGCCCCUUACCAGAUGACAGACUUCUUUUUCCUUAUUUUUUCAGAAACAGGAAACAGGGUCUCAUUCUCUGUUGCCUACGUCAGAGUGCAGUGGCCUGCUCAAGCUGUGUUCUCACCUCAGCCUCCUGAUUUGCUAGAGGUGGCGCUGGCUCAUAUUUAAAAAUGUUUUU